GGCAUUGUGGCCGAGUGGUUAGGCGGAGCUCUGCAAAAGCUUUUACAGCGGUUCGAAUCCGCUCGAUGCCU
rnacentral:tRNA from 1 species